GAAGGGGUUGCCUCGCUAGCAGAACAAGAAAGCUUUGGGGUGAGAUCUUGGCCUUGAUUUCUUUGACCUUAUCAACAAAAAAUUCUUAAUUCAUUAUGCCUCUGUGAGAUUUAAUAUGAAGAGUAUUUAUUUAGAGCUAGACUUAAGUACAGGUACGUCCUCGACAAACACAAGGUCCAAGGUACGGCCUUUCAGAUGUUUUGGUCCAGAAACACGUUCAACAAAGUAAAAGGAAUCAGAUACAGAUCAAAGUUCAGCUGUUGAGUUUGAUGCUUCCCUCAUCAACAUGUUAAAAAUCCCCAAGAAUCAGAACGUUCUCAAAAUAAUAAUAGAAGAUAAAAAAUCUGUAAAAUCCUUUAAGAAGACAGCAGCAGGGCCAGCAGGGGGAGAAACACAAUAAAACAUGUUCACAGAGCCAAUCUUAAUCGUUCGCACACUGCCAGAUUCUCCCAGGUGUGCAGUCGGCAAGUGAUGAAAGUAAUAUGUGGAGCGCAGACAAAAAUGGUGUGCUAAGAAAACAAUCAUUCAAACCACCACUGCCCAGCAUGCUUCUGAUCAUCCCACAGGUCUGGCUACAUCGUUUUAUCCUGAUGCUACAGUGUAGCUAGUGGGCCCCACAACUCCCCGCCAUGAUUGAAAUGAAGACUUGGGUUGGAGCAGGUGGGGUGGACUGUGUAUCGAUAUUCACAACAACUGGUGCGAAUAUAGAUAAUAUAGAUAUAGGUAAUAGUAAGACCGCAGACAAUUUUCCAUCAGAGGAAACACACUGGAUGGAGUCUAUUCCUACUUGAGUCCCCCUCCCACAGCCGGGAACAUCUGACCACCACUUAUCCUCAUCCCAGCCUAUACUCCCCUGAGAAGAAGAAUCAACCUAAUCAGGUCAAAUAGACCCAGUUUAAAAACUGGAGAGAUAAAGGAAUUACAUCGAUGUGUGGUAUUGUAAAGGAAGAUGAAAUUAUGAGUUUCCAAACUUCAAAGCAAACGUUUCAUUUAGAAAACCGAGACCACGAUAGAUACUUGCAGUUAAGAAACUUCUAUACUCGAAGCAUUAAAAACCAAACAGCCACUACAGCGAGGCCACUUAUCCAACUCUUUGUAAAUGCUUAUAAGAAAGGUGUAAUCUCAUAAAUAUACAAUCGUCUUCAUGAUCUCAGCGAUUAUUCAACAAAGUAUAUAAAAGAACGAUGGAAGAAAGAGGAAUGGCAGAACAUUUGUUCUUUUCAUUGGAAAAGUACAAAAUCACACAUAUGGAAGCUCUGCUGGAAAAGUUUUUCAUCAGCCCAGCUAUAAAGGCACAUUAUGAUGAUGGAAGUUGUGAAUGUUGGAGGAACUGUGGCUACGAAACAGCACACCACUACCACAUAUUUUGUAAGAAUAUUAAGAACUACUGGAGAGGAGUCCACAAAGUGAUGCAAAACAUAUUUGGUACAUAUUUUGAUUUCAAACCCAUAUUUUUAGGAUACAAACCCUCAGGCAUGAAGUAUAGAUAAAUACUUACUUGGUGUGCAGCUGGCUGCAAGUAAAACGGCACUGACCAAAAGAUGGCCAACACAGGAUCCACCAACAUUAAACAGCUGGAUUGAUGUAACGUUUGAGAUUUAUAAGAAAAGAAAAAAAACUUUUUUUGUGAACUUUGAGUGUGAGAAAUUUGUAAAACACUGGGGAAACUGCUCUGUGAGUCCUGUAAGGCCUGAUAUCGCUGAUAUUCAUCAUCGAAGGAACGGUUGUUUCAGUUUUUGUUUGCUUUUUAUAAUAACAUGUACUAAUGCUCUGUCACCAUCUGCUACUGAGUGUGUUGGCUUUUCAGCUGCCCUCUCUCUGCAUGGAUAUAGUUACAAACUGUAUCUGUCUCUACAUGUGUUUGUUUUGUUGUUUGUUUUGUUUUUUCCUUCUCUUUCUCUUUUUUUUCAUACCUGCGUGAAGGAAAAGCACUUGAAGUGAUCCAGACUACUGUACUUAGAACAAAGGAAGCCGUCAAAUACUGUACGUUUUAUUUUAUGCAUAACUUCAAUAAACACUUAAAUUUAAAAAACAAAAACUAAUCAGAUCAAACUCAAGAGCGUUGAAGCCUGCACAGAAAGAUCAGUCACUCGUUUGCAGGACUGCUUCAGUGCCACAGAGUACAGAAUACCUAAGAAUCCAGGACCUGCACUUAUGUAUGGACAACGUCACAGCUGAUAAACACAUCUAUGUUUUAUCCAAACAAGAAACCAUGGAUGAUAUGUGAAGUUCAGCCAGCAACUCUGCCUUCAGGGCAGAAGACGAAACACACAUUCCUUGUGACUUUGAUCCCAUCAGUUUGCACAGAUCCACUCACGGUGCCAUUUCAUUCAAGUAGUGUGACUGUUAGUUUGUCUUUAUACACACAAGCUCAGCAGUUCUUCCAGUUUCAUUAUGUGUUUGGUAUGAUUACAAUAACAGAGCUUAUGUUAUUUUAUCAUAUUUUUAUGUUUAAGUUGUUUGUUGCUGGUUUUUAGUUUGUUUUUGUCUGUUUGGGAGCUGACACAGUCUCUAUGGAGAUGGGUUUUUGGGGGGUAGCAGGAGGAGAGAAGCUGCAGAGAGGCGUGUAAGACUGCAGCUCUGCUUCCUGGUCCCAACUCUGGAUACUCAUAUUUUGGGAGGUGUUGAAAAUUUGAAAAUGUUUGUUUUCAGUAUAAAUAAAGCUGGUUUAAUCAUUUUUGUAUACACACUGCAAAUGUGCUCAUACGAGCUGGCACUCCUUUGAAGGUCGAAAGCUUCGUUCGGCGUGACGGUCCAGAUUGAUAUAUUGUAGGAGUGACACAGAGUGCAGGCGGUUGGUGGCAAACACGCUGACACACGGAUAAUGGUUAGAAUGAGUCUUUGGGUUAGAGAGUCCGAGCAAGAUAUUCUGAACCAGAACGUAGAAUCAGUACAAGAACAAUGGAGAAUAAAAUGAGAUUAUCAAGGCUAGGCGGGAGGUGUUUUCCUCUUCUACCUCUUGCAGAGGAGCGAGCAGAUACCGGACGAGGUCAGACGUGGACGGGGAGGGAGACAGCCGGACUGCCAUAUCCGUGCAGGAGCCAGAAAGCCAUGAUAAUCUUUGUUUUUGUUUCACUAUAUAAAGUUAUACGGCCCGUUUGAGGGUCAUCCUUUUUGUGAACCAAAUGCCUGAUUUCACACAGACGUCCAGAGCUGUGGAAACUUGUAAUUUCAACUGCCAACGCAAAUUAAAUCUUUUUAACAGACAGAA
ensembl:lncRNA